rnacentral:rRNA from 1 species
CCUACGGGAGGCAGCAGUGGGGAAUCUUGCGCAAUGGGCGAAAGCCUGACGCAGCAACGCCGCGUGCGGGAAGAAGGCUUUCGGGCUGUAAACCGCUUUCAGCAGGAACGAAAAUGACGGUACCUGCAGAAGAAGGAGCGGCCAACUAUGUGCCAGCAGCCGCGGUGAUACAUAGGCUUCAAGCGUUGUCCGGAUUUAUUGGGCGUAAAGAGUUCGUAGGCGGUCGAGUAAGUCGGGUGUGAAAAUUCUGGGCUCAACCCAGAGACGCCACCCGAUACUGCUUGACUUGAGUUCGAUAGGGGAGUGGGGAAUUCCUAGUGUAGCGGUGAAAUGCGCAGAUAUUAGGAGGAACACCGGUGGCGAAGGCGCCACUCUGGAUCGAUACUGACGCUGAGGAACGAAAGCAUGGGUAGCAAACAGGAUUAGAUACCCUGGUAGUCCAUGCCGUAAACGGUGGGCACUAGGUGUGGGUUUCUAUUAACGAAAUCCGCGCCGUCGCUAACGCAUUAAGUGCCCCGCCUGGGGAGUACGGUCGCAAGACUAAAACUCAAAUGAAAUUGACGG